UGAGGACACCCACUCUGUUGUUUGAGCAGUGCAUAAACCGUAAUUCUGCAUCACACAUUUGCUUCAUAUCAAAGACUUCCUCAUGAUUUCUGCAAAUUCUGGGGAACAUGUAUUUUAUGGCCACCCGGACCCACUGAACAAUCCAUUUCACCAGCAUCUCACCUUCCAGGAUUGCUCUCUUCUCUCUGUCCUAUACUGUACCAUCAAAGCUUUUGACUUAAUAAAAAGCUACUUUUUAUUUUUAUUUACAGGCAUGGUGGCUCAUGCCUGUAAUCCCAGCACUUUAGGAGGCCAAGGCAGGCAGAUUGACUGAGAUCAGGAGUUCGAGACCAGCCUUGGAAACACGGUGAAACCCUGUAUCUAACAAAAAAUUCAAAAAUUAGUGGUGCGUGCCCGUAGUCUCAGCUACUCAGGAGGCUGAGGCAGAAGAAUUGCUUGAACCUUGGAGGCAGACACUGUAGUGAGCUGAGAUUGCACCACUGCACUCCAGCCUGGGUGACAGAGCGAGACGCCGUCUCAAAAAAAAAAAAAAAAAAAAAAGUUGGGGGGCUACUUAGUAUGGGGGCACUCCUUAGAAGCCAAAGAGAAAAACUUUUUUCUCUCUGAUUCACUAACAUCUCUUGUUCCAUUUCUUAAUCCAUUUCCUGUUUGCCCUGAGAAAUGAGCGCCGGCAGUGAGCUGAGAUUUUUUUUUUUUCCCUUAACGGAAAAUGGGUUAAAUUAAGGGACUGGCCAGCAGUGUUUACCUUCUCUUCACUUCUUAUUACACUGUCAUUACACCAUCUGACAGUACUGCACUAUGAUGGUUAAUACUGAUUGUCAACUUGAUUGGAUUGGAGGAUGCAAAGUAUUGUUCCUGGGUGUGUCUGUGAGGGUUUUACCAAAGGACAUUAACAUUUGAGUUAGUGGACUGAGAGAGGCAGACCAACCCUCUAUCUGGGUGGGCACCACCUAAUCGGUUGCCAGUGUGGCUAGAAUAAAAGCAGGAAGAAGAUGGAAAAGCAGACUGGCUGAGUCUUCAAGCCUUCAUCUUUCUCCCACGCUGGAUGCUUCCUUCCCACAGACUCCAAGUUCCUGCCCAUCAGACUCCAAGUUCCUCAGCUUUUGGACUCUUGGACUUACACCAGUGGUUUGCCAGGGACUCUCGGGCCUUUGGCCACAGACCGAAAGCUGCACUGAUGGCUUCCCUACUUUUGAGGUUUUGGGAUGUGCACUGAUCCACCACUGGCUCCUUGCUCCUCAACUUGCAGACGGCCUAUCAUGGGACUUUACCUUGUGAUCACCCCAGUUUUGACUUGUAAAAUGUUGGAGACGCACAUCAAACAGGUAACAAAAGACUCAAAAUGGCAUUAAAUAAGUCAGCAACAAUUUCAAAACUGUCAUGACUACGGAACAUCAGCAUCUCGUGAUGUCUGUAAAAUAUCCACAGUUGCCGCACUCCUCAGAGGUGUGAGGCUGUUUGGGUAGAGCAGCUUCUUGCCUUGACUGAUGAUGUACCCACAUCUCACAUCGGUGGUUUCCAGUUGCAGCUGUAUCCCAGCACAACUCAGUAUUCCUACUUCAUGACUCUGCUCAGCUCCCUCACCUCUACCCAUGUGACCCUCCACAAGUCUCUCUCUGUUGGCCAGGGUGGUCUUGAACUCCUGGCCUCAAGCAAUCCUCCUGCCUUGGCCUCUCAAAGUGCUGGGAUUACAGAUGUGAGCCACCACACUCAGCCUCCACAUCUGUCCUUUCAGCUAGAACUUUGUCCUCUUGGUCAGGUGUGGUGGCUCAGGCCUGUAAUCCCAGGGCUUUGGGAGGCAGAGGCGGGAGGCCUCUUGCUUGAGGCCAAGAGUUCCAGACCAACCUGGGAAACAUAGUGAGACCAUGCCUCUACAAAAAUUAAAAAUAUUAGCUGGGCAUGGUGCCAAGUGCCUGCAGGGCCAGCUACAUGGGAGGCUGAGGUGGGAGGACUGCUUCAGCCCAGGAGGUUGAGGCUGCAGUAAGCCAUGAUCAUGCCACUGCACUCCAGGUUGGGUGACAGAAUGAGACCCUAUCUCAAAUAACAAUUUUUUUUUUUUUUUGAGAGGGAGUGCACUCCUUUUGAGAGGAGUCACCCAGGCUGCAGUGCAGUGGCCUGAUCUCGGCUCACUUCAACCUCUGCCUCUCGGGUUCAGGUCAUUCUCCUGCCUCAGCCUUCCGAGUAGCUGGGCUUACAGGCACAUGCCACCAUGCCCAGCUAAUUUUUGUAUUUUUAGUAGAGACGGGGUUUCACUGUGUUGGUCAGGCUGGUCUCAAACUCCUGACUGGCCUCCCAAAGUGCUGGGAUUACAGGCAUGAGCCACCACGCCCAGCCAAAAACUUUUUUUUAUUAUUAUUUCUGAGUAUCAAAAGAUACAUUUUAACUUCAGAACAACUUUUAAAUUAGCCAGAAUUAAACACAGCCUGCUUUAAUUUUCCCUAAUGUAGUUACAUGUAUCAAAUGUAUCAACGUCAGCACUAAGCCCUUAGGAAAGGAAAAAGGCCAAUUUGUUGAGAAUUGUUACAAAGAACUGGCUGCCCCUGUUCUCCUCUCUUAUUCCCAAAGCCCAACUCGGUCAGAAUCUGGGCAUUCUUCACCCCAGGGUGGGCGUGGCUGGUGACAGCUGAGGAUUUUUGUUUUGUUUUGUUUUUGUUUUGUUUUGUUUUUGAGACAGUCUCACUCUGUCUCCCAGGCUGGAGUGCAGUGGCG
rnacentral:lncRNA from 1 species